CUCCUCUACAGCUGAGAUGUGACUGCAAGGCACUUCUAUUGAACUCAUUAGGACUACUAGAGCAGUACUUGACUGUUAAUUGAAUCUUAUCCUUUAAGAAGCAUCUGUCUUCACAAAGGAGUUGUUUCCAACACAGAGUGCCCAGGUUACCGUUCUGCCUGCAUGCCUGCUUAAGGGAGUUUUGCUGAAUACUUCAACACAGAAGGCCACCAAACUACCGACAUACAAACUACCAACUUUACCCAACUGCUAGGAUACAGUCCAAGCAAAAGAAGCUGUUUUUCUCAAAGUGGUCUACAAAGAUCUAAAGUGCCGUCCCUCACCAUGGGGCAGCACUAUUAAUCUGUCACAUCAAAGACUUUCUUUCGGCCCAGGAACUACGAAUAAGCUUACCCACAGCUCGUGAGUGAUCUCACCCGGAUCAGCAGGCAGGCACAGCCCCAAGCAGUCAGGAACUUCAGCAGAACGCCCGGAGUUCCCUACGUCCACCUGGAAUCGUGCAGCUCGUUUCGGUAGCGGUAAUUAAAACACUUUUUACGGGGAGACAGGCUCACGCG